rnacentral:rRNA from 1 species
GACGAACGCUGGCGGCGUGCCUAAUACAUGCAAGUCGAACGCAGUGGGGACGGUUGAGUAACACGUGGGUAACCUCCCAUCAGAGGGGAUAACACUUGGAAACAGGUGCUAAACCGAUACUGAUGGAUGGACCCGCGGUGCAUUAGCUAGUUGUUGAGGUAACGGCUCACCAAGGCCACGAUGCAUAGCCACCCCGAGAGGGUGAUCGGCCACAAGAGGAGUGAGCCAAGGCCCCGACUCCUACGGGAGGCAGCAGUAGGGAAGCUUCGGCAAUGGACGAAAGUCAGAGCGAGAUACACCGCUUGAUUGAAGAAGGUUUUCGUAUCGUAAAACUAUGUUGUUAGAGAAGCGGUAUCUAACCAGAAAGCCACGGCUAACUACGUGCCGACAGCCGCGGUAAUUC